rnacentral:rRNA from 1 species
GUAGGUCUGUCCUGCCCAGUGAUAAUAAUUCAACGGCCGCGGUACCUUGACCGUGCAAAGGUAGCAUAAUCAUUUGCCUUUUAAUUAAAGGCUAGUAUGAAUGGAUCCACAAGAAUAAAACUGUCUCAUUUCUAAAAUAAAUAUAAACUGAUAUCUAAAUGAAGAAGUUUAGAUAUUAAUAAAGGACAAGAAGACCCUAUAGAGCUUUAUUAUUAUUUAGACAUACUAAUAUAAUAAAUUGAUUGGGACAAUCUUAAGACAUAUAAACCUCUUAUAAUUUAAAUAUACUACACCCUAACUUGUAAAUGAAUAAGCUACCUUAGGGAUAACAGGCUAAUCUUACUAAAGAGAUCACAUUGACAGUAAGGAUUGGCACCUCGAUGUUGGCUUAGUGUAACUAUAGGGUGCAGCCGCCUUAUUAAGUUGGUUUGUUCAACCAUUAAAUCACUACAUGAG